GACGAACGCUGGCGGCGUGCCUAAUACAUGCAAGUUGAGCGCUGAAGGUUGGUACUUGUACCAACUGGAUGAGCAGCGAACGGGUGAGUAACGCGUGGGGAAUCUGCCUUUGAGCGGGGGACAACAUUUGGAAACGAAUGCUAAUACCGCAUAAAAACUUUAAACACAAGUUUUAAGUUUGAAAGAUGCAAUUGCAUCACUCAAAGAUGAUCCCGCGUUGUAUUAGCUAGUUGGUGAGGUAAGGGCUCACCAAGGCGAUGAUACAUAGCCGACCUGAGAGGGUGAUCGGCCACAUUGGGACUGAGACACGGCCCAAACUCCUACGGGAGGCAGCAGUAGGGAAUCUUCGGCAAUGGACGAAAGUCUGACCGAGCAACGCCGCGUGAGUGAAGAAGGUUUUCGGAUCGUAAAACUCUGUUGGUAGAGAAGAACGUUGGUGAGAGUGGAAAGCUCAUCAAGUGACGGUAACUACCCAGAAAGGGACGGCUAACUACGUG
rnacentral:rRNA from 1 species